AUUGAACGCUGGCGGCAGGCCUAACACAUGCAAGUCGAACGGUAACAGGAAGAAGCUUGCUUCUUUGCUGACGAGUGGCGGACGGGUGAGUAAUGUCUGGGAAACUGCCUGAUGGAGGGGGAUAACUACUGGAAACGGUAGCUAAUACCGCAUAACGUCGCAAGACCAAAGAGGGGGACCUUCGGGCCUCUUGCCAUCGGAUGUGCCCAGAUGGGAUUAGCUUGUUGGUGGGGUAACGGCUCACCAAGGCGACGACCCCUAGCUGGUCUGAGAGGAUGACCAGCCACACUGGAACUGAGACACGGUCCAGACUCCUACGGGAGGCAGCAGUGGGGAAUAUUGCACAAUGGGCGCAAGCCUGAUGCAGCCAUGCCGCGUGUAUGAAGAAGGCCUUCGGGUUGUAAAGUACUUUCAGCGGGGAGGAAGGGAGUAAAGUUAAUACCUUUGCUCAUUGACGUUACCCGCAGAAGAAGCACCGGCUAACUCCGUG
rnacentral:rRNA from 1 species